rnacentral:rRNA from 1 species
GACAGAGGCCUCAAGCGUUAGGCGGAAUCACUGGGCUUAAAGCGUGUGUAGGCGGACGCCUAAGUGUCUUGUGAAAUCCCCCGGCUCACCCGGGGAACUGCUGGGCAUACUGGGCGUCUUGGGCCAACUAGGGGCGACUGGAACAAGCGGUGGAGCGGUGAAAUGCGUAGAUAUCGCUUGGAACGCCGAAGGUGAAAACAGGUUGCUGGGGUUGUGCCGACGCUGAGACACGAAAGCCAGGGGAGCAAACGGG